rnacentral:sRNA from 1 species
GGGAUUAAAGACAUGCAGCACCAAACCCAGCUUCUAUUUUUUUUUUUAAUUAUGUUUCUAAAUUAACUUACAAAGUGGGUAGUUUUCAGAGAUUUUUCAUGCAUCACUACCAUCACCACCAUCAUCAUCAUUGUUAUUGUUGUUGUUAUUAUUAUUAUUAUUAUCAUUAUUAAUAUUAUUUUGGUUAAUUUACUCCUAUCCCCUCUUGUCACCACCCCAUCAUGGUUUAGGUAGAGGGCAAAAUAUUGGGAAUUAAAGGUUUACCAUAAGUUUUUUUUUUUUUUUCUUUUCUUUUUUUCGGAGCUGGGGACCGAACCCAGGGCCUUGCGCUUGCUAGGCAAGCGCUCUACCACUGAGCUAAAUCCCCAACCCCUACCAUAAGUUUUAUGAUAGUUUCUCAACUCACUAACUCAUUGUUUCUUGUAGACUGCUUGGUCAGUGAUCUCUGUCACUGCUCCUGUCACUUCUGCUGAGAUGACAGAUGUGUGCACCAUCAUAUCCAGCUUUUACAUGGGUGUCGGACAGUGACCUCUUUGCCCACAGAGCCAUCCCUUCAGCCUUAUUUUAAAAUUUUGAGACAGGAUCCCACUGUUUAUGGCCUGGAACUUGUACUCUUCCUGCCUUGGCCUCCCAUCUGUGCAUAUGCAGGUAUGCAUGUAAGCAGGUAUGCAUGUAUGCAUGCAUGCAUGUAUGCAGGUAUGCAGGUAUGCAUGUGGAGGCCAGGGAACAAUCUCAGCUCUACCUCAGGUGCUACCCUGUUUUUUGUCUUUUGGGUUUUUUGUUUGUUUGUUUGUUUGUUUGUUUUUUACUUAUCCUCUCACUGACCUAGACCCAACAAGAAGGAUAGGCUGCUGGCCUGUAAGGCCACCUCUAGGUUCCAUGCCUUCACACUCGGCUUGCUUGUAUAUGUGUGUGUUGAAGUGGGGAAGUUCUGGGGACUUGACAUCAGGUCUUCACACUUACAAGGCAGGCACUCGAUUAUUUCCCAAGUCCUCUCCUUUAAUUUGUUCUUGGAUUUUUUUUUUCCCAUUGCUUUUUUAGUUUUAUAAUAGCUUUCAUAUUUUGUUAGAUUUGUACCUUAAAUUUUCAUUCAAAGGGCUGAUGAAAUAAGAAAAUAAGAAAAAUACCUUCCAGGAUUGUGUAUGACAAAUAAAAUGUUGACUUGCACAGUGUUUGUAGCAGCCAUUUCAGUAAACGUUCAGUUACUUUUGUUCACACAUUCCUAUCACCCCUGUGUCUCUAAUUAUUCCCUCAGUCAGGCACUCAGUACUGAAUGCCUACUGUGUGUCAGACAAAAUUCCAGGACCUGGAAUCCAGCAGAUGCUUUCAUGGAGUUAACAGGUUAAUGUGGGUAACAAGAAACAAACUAACUAUGUAGGCUGUAAGGUUUGAAUGGGUAUCGUGGAGAAAAAGGGGCAAGAUCAGAGGCGUGGGGGCAGUGCAAGGAGGGUUGCAGGCUUUAAUAGAUGUCAAGAAAGUCUCACCAACCAAGUGACAGCAGAAAUAAGACUCAAAGGGAUGGAAGUGUCACUUGCAGAUAUCUAAGAUAAAGCAUCAAAGAUCUGCUGGGAGAGCAGCAAGGAGAGCCCUGUGACUAGAGUAGCUCAAGAUUGAGAAGAACAGAAGAUGAAGUCAGCAAGGAGACAUCCUGUGUCUUGGAUGGGCCUUGCACACCAUUAUAAAAGGACUGGCUUUUAUUCCGGCCGAGAUGGGAAGCUAACAGGGAUGAGGCAUGAUCUGACUUGGGUUAACAAGAUCUCUGCAACUUUGGCUGCUCUGUAGAGAACGCAGGAGAUGACAGGCAACCAACAGUAAUUACCUAUGUGAGAAAGGGGGCAGCUUCACUAGCAAAAGUGAGAGAGGAAGAAGUAACAGGCUCAUGGGUCCUAGAGCAGAGGGAUCCUAACCUGUACGUUGUAACCCUUUUGGGGCUCAAAUAUCCGAUAAGUACCUCAGGUAUUUACAUUAAUAUGAAGUAGCAACAAAAUUAUUUAAUGGUUUUGGGGGGAGGUCGCAAUAUAAGGAACUAUAGUAAGGGAUCGCAACAUUAGGAAGGUUGAGAACCACUGCCCUAGAGGAUCUGUAGGUAGCCUUGGGUAUCUUGAAUAUCCUAAUAUUUUAAUAUAAAAGUUUUUUGCAUGAAAGCAUUUUGGAGAGGAGGACGUUGGUCGAAGUCUUAAAGUAAUUCUCUGAGCCAAAUCAGAAGAUACUAAGUCCCUUAGUGGUGAAUAAUUAGGAUAUCCCACCUUCUAGCUACCUAAAAGCCCACACUUAACUCAUUCCUCAGACCCUAGUCACACAUUCUCCAGGGUAUUGACCUUAUGCCAGUCUCAGAGCUAACACCACCGCCAUCCCCUUUAAUAUGUUUGUCCCUGACUUCCAGCUGAGCUUACCAAGAUUGUUAAAGAGAAA